rnacentral:rRNA from 1 species
AUUGAACGCUGGCGGCAGGCCUAACACAUGCAAGUCGAGCGGAUGAAGGGAGCUUGCUCCUGGAUUCAGCGGCGGACGGGUGAGUAAUGCCUAGGAAUCUGCCUGGUAGUGGGGGAUAACGUCCGGAAACGGGCGCUAAUACCGCAUACGUCCUGAGGGAGAAAGUGGGGGAUCUUCGGACCUCACGCUAUCAGAUGAGCCUAGGUCGGAUUAGCUAGUUGGUGGGGUAAAGGCCUACCAAGGCGACGAUCCGUAACUGGUCUGAGAGGAUGAUCAGUCACACUGGAACUGAGACACGGUCAAGACGCCUACGGGAGGCAGCAGUGGGGAAUAUUGGACAAUGGGCGAAAGCCUGAUCCAGCCAUGCCGCGUGUGUGAAGAAGGUCUUCGGAUUGUAAAGCACUUUAAGUUGGGAGGAAGGGCAGUAAGUUAAUACCUUGCUGUUUUGACGUUACCAACAGAAUAAGCACCGGCUAACUUCGUG